rnacentral:rRNA from 1 species
GACGAACGCUGGCGGCGUGCUUAACACAUGCAAGUCGAACGGUGAACCUCUUCGGAGGGGAUCAGUGGCGAACGGGUGAGUAACACGUGGGCAACCUGCCCCCGGCUCUGGGAUAACUCCAAGAAAUUGGGGCUAAUACCGGAUGUUCACCGCUUCCCGCAUGGGUGGUGGUGGAAAGGGUUUCCGGCUGGGGAUGGGCCCGCGGCCUAUCAGCUUGUUGGUGGGGUAGUGGCCUACCAAGGCGACGACGGGUAGCCGGCCUGAGAGGGUGACCGGCCACACUGGGACUGAGACACGGCCCAGACUCCUACGGGAGGCAGCAGUGGGGAAUAUUGCGCAAUGGGCUGAAGCCUGACGCAGCGACGCCGCGUGGGGGAUGACGGCCUUCGGGUUGUAUUCCUCUUUCAGCAGGGACGAAGCGCAAGUGACGGUACCUGCAGAAGAAGCUCCGGCCAACUACGUG